UAGCCCGGUAAUUCCAGCUCCAAUAGCGUAUAUUUAAGUUGUUGCAGUUAAAAAGCUCGUAGUUGAAUUUCGAGAUCAAAUUGUUGGUCGUGCCUUGGUACGCACUGGCAUUAUUGGUUUCUCCCUUCUGAAGAACCAUGAUGUCAUUAAUUUGGUGUCUUGGGGAAUCAGGACUGUUACUUUGAAAAAAUUAGAGUGUUUAAAGCAGGCUCGCGCUUGAAUACAUUAGCAUGGAAUAAUGAAAUAGGACGUUUGAUUCUAUUUUGUUGGUUUCUAGGAUCGACGUAAUGAUUAAUAGGGAUAGUUGGGGGCAUUAGUAUUCAAUUGUCAGAGGUGAAAUUCUUGGAUUUAUUGAAGACUAACUACUGCGAAAGCAUUUGCCAAGGAUGUUUUCAUUAAUCAAGAACGAAAGUUAGGGGAUCGAAGACGAUCAGAUACCGUCGUAGUCUUAACCAUAAACUAUGCCGACUAGGGAUCGGAUGAUGUUAAUUUUUUAAUGACUCAUUCGGCGCCUUACG
rnacentral:misc_RNA from 1 species